rnacentral:rRNA from 1 species
UACGUAGGGUGCAAGCGUUGUCCGGAAUUAUUGGGCGUAAAGAGCUCGUAGGCGGUCCGUCACGUCGGCUGUGAAAACCUGGGGCUCAACCCCGGGCCUGCAGCCGAUACGGGCGGACUAGAAUUCGGUAGGGGAGACUGGAAUUCCUGGUGUAGCGGUGAAAUGCGCAGAUAUCAGGAGAACACCCGGUGGCGAAAGCGGGCUCUC